UACAGAGGCCCCAAGCGUUAUCCGGAAUUACUGGGCGUAAAGGGUGUGUAGGUGGUUUUGUUAGUCUUUUGUUAAAGCUCCCGACCCAAUCGGGAAAAUGCGAGAGAAACGGCAAAACUUAGAGGAUGCGAGAGGUAUAUGGAACUCAUGGAGUAGGGGUGAAAUCCGUUGAUAUCAUGGGGAACACCAAAAGCGAAGGCAAUAUACUGGCGCACUCCUGACACUGAAACACGAAAGCGUAGGUAGCGAAUGGG
rnacentral:rRNA from 1 species